rnacentral:rRNA from 1 species
AGUUUAACGGCCGCGGUAUUCUGACCGUGCAAAGGUAGCAUAAACACUUGUUCUCCAAAUAAGGACUUGUAUGAAUGGCCACACGAGGGUUUUACUGUCUCUUACUUCCAAUCAGUGAAAUUGACCUUCCCGUGAAGAGGCGGGAAUAAAAAAAUAAGACGAGAAGACCCUAUGGAGCUUUAAUUAACUAUUCCAAAAGUUAAACAAUUCAACCACAAAGGGAUAAAACAUAACUUAACAUGGACUAGCAAUUUCGGUUGGGGUGACCUCGGAGUACAAAAAACCCUCCGAGUGAUUUUAAUCUAGACAAACCAGUCAAAAUAACCAUAACAUCACUUAUUGAUCCAAAACUUUGAUCAACGGAACAAGUUACCCUAGGGAUAACAGCGCAAUCCUAUUCUAGAGUUCCUAUCGACAAUAGGGUUUACGACCUCGAUGUUGGAUCAGGACACCCAAAUGGUGCAACCGCUAUUAAAGGUUCGUUUGUUCAACGAUUAAAGUCCUACGUGAUCUGAGU